AAAAUUCUUAUUUUUCUGUCCAAUACUCCAAAAUCCAAGUAGAAUUGUCUAUCAGACUUUUUUCUUUUUCUUUUUAUUUUUUAUUUUUUAUUUUACUACUGAUAAGAGAUCAUAGGAGUCUGGAUAGAGAUAGAGAUCUUAAUAGUAGUAUGUUGAAGAAUGGACUAAUAAGAACUUAUGAGCUUAUCCUAUCUUUCAGUGAUAAUCAAUUUAAGCGAUCGACAAGGCACAGAGCCAGGAUAUUUGCAUAUGCUUCUGUAUGUAUUCAUGAAACCUUGGACGCUUGCUUGCUGUUGACUCCUGAGGUAACACUUUUUCUUAUUCAUCUAUUUCGAAGAAACACAAAAUUAGAGUUCAUUCUAUAUUUUUCUAAUUAGGAAUUGAAUGCCAAGGUUGGAUCAGAGACCGAGAGAGAGUUAUCUUUUCUGGAUAACAAAUAAAUUGGGACCAUUUCCAAUCUUUCGUUUUCUUCAUACAUUUUGUUCCUUCUCAACUCAAAGCCCAUGAAAAUCUGUAGUUUUUUAAUUAAUAGAGUGUGAUUCUCUGUUCAAAAUUGAAGCUUUCAGGGCUGAUAUUUGUGAUUAUCUUUAGGUUUGAUUUGGGUUUGUGUCACAUACAUCUGAGUAUUCAUUGGGAACUAGUUCUGGGUCUAGUUUGCUUAAGCUCAAAUAUUCACAUGCAAAAUUUACCAAGAUGGAUAGUCAAAUUAUUUUGUGCUAAUUUGUUAGGAGUAUUGUAAUUCAUUUUUUGAAUACAUGUGGCCGACUCUAACUAGUCUUUUGAGGAUUUAUAGCCAACCCCUAAAUUUUGGGACUUGGGAUUGGUUGUUGUUGUUGUUGUUGUUGUAGUAUUGGCAAUCAUAGUCAAGAAAAAAAAUUGAGAUGGGUUCUGGAGAACAAAACCACAGGUGGAGUGUUUUUGAUGGGGUCAAGGUUAUUCCCGCAGCACCUGAGGCUCUCAUGGCAGAGAUUGAUAUAGCCAUUUCUAAGCUUGAGUAUGCUCGUGCUACUGCUAGGCUUGAGUCCCCAUCUUCUUCUUUUUCUUCAUCAUCAUCAUCAUCUUCUUCUUCUUCUUCUUCUUCUUCUUCUUCUUCUUCUUCUGUAUUAAAUAAUACGAGCUCGGAUUCAAGUCCAAGGCCUCUGUAUGAUGCCCGACUGGCAGAUGAAGCUUACAGAGCAGGAUGUGCAGCCUUGGCUGCUGGCAAGCUUGAUGAAGCUCUUUUCUCUUUGAACAUUUCUCUCUCUAGAUGCCCACCUGAUAAGACUAAUGCCGUUGCUAAGCUUCAGUCUCUCAUUGCUCUUACAUCUCAGCAACUCUACAAGUCUCCCAUUUGAACUGCUAGAUCUUUUUAUUAAAAACCUGUGCAAUUGAUUGGAGACCACUUGCUGGUUCAAUAAUGGAAGAAACAUGAGGGAGUGCUCAUAACAAAAUGCUGCAGGAUCUAAUUGCUUGUGGAUAUGGUUUGUUCACUUGCGUUUAAGUCGCUAGUGGGCACUGGGAAGGCAGGUUUUGCUGCUUUGGUGGACAUCAGAAUCAGACAGCAUGUCAGCUUGACAAACUUUUCUUUAUGUGGCCAUGUAUUGUCGGUUAGGUGUGUAAAAAAUUUGUAUGUUAUGUUGAUUGUGUACGAAUUCCCACAUAUAUACUUGGUCGUUGUACUGAAACAAUUUGGCAACUCAGAUUUUUGUUUUGUUU